UGGCCAGUCUUUGCUGCAGUCUGCUGUCAAAGUAAAGGGUGCAAAGCUACAACUGCUGAGUCUGAGCUCUGACCUAAAUGGCCUCUAUCAGUGUGAAGCAUAUGGAAGAAAACACAGUCAGCUCUAUGUGCAUGUGGCAUCAGAAGCAUGCUGUGCUGUUUGGGUCUUAUUUGGUGCUCUGCUUUCUCUGAAUGUUGUUGGAGCUGCAGCGUGGUACUUCUAUAGAUGCAGACAUUUUCAAAGCCAGGAAGAUGUCCAGUGCAGCAAGCUCCAGAAGGUGAUCAGUAUAUUUAAAAGAAGAAAAAAAGAGGCAGCACAAAAGGAGUGUCUCUGGCAGUUGUGGAAGACAUCUGGACUGAAGGCGCCACCAUCCUUUUGUUCCAAACUCGACUACUAAAUAGGAUGAAAAAUGGAUGAAGAUUCUUGGUUCUCAUCUAUAUCCUCAUCUGCCUGUCAUUGCCAUUUGGGUUUCAUCAGCAAUAAAACUGGUUGCAGCAGUUUUAUUGUUUUCCACCCGCUUAUUAGUAUUAGAACCACCGGCACAAAAACAUGUUAACACUGCAAAGAUUAUCCACAGCUAUAAAAAUGUAUUCAUUCAGCACCAUGUCUCUUUAUACUCUAAACGCACCUUGAUGUCAUGUACUGUGUUUUCUUUAAGCUGCUUUCCAUUUCAAAAUGUAAAAGGCUAAGUAGAAUAUUUCACUGCUGUCUUCACACAAAGUAAUCUCAAUGAAACCCUCUGAUCAUCUGUUUUGUGUUGACUUCAUGGUAUAAAUAUACUUGCUUGAGAUAGAAACCAAAUUCUGCUACAAUGGAUUGAAUUAAUGGUUUUUCUUUAUUUUCGUGCCUAUUUACAUUAUAGAUUCUCACUGAAGACAUCAAAACAAUGAAUGAACACUUGUACAGCAGCUGCCAAACAGUGUUGCAGGAGAACAGACUCAGUCUACUGAGAGGAGUACUUGUGGUUUUAAUAAAAAUGAUGUUCUUGUUUAAAGUCCAU